UGGGGAAUAUUGGACAAUGGGCGCAAGCCUGAUCCAGCAAUGCCGCGUGAGUGAUGAAGGCCUUAGGGUUGUAAAGCUCUUUCGCACGCGACGAUGAUGACGGUAGCGUGAGAAGAAGCCCCGGCUAACUUCGUGCCAGCAGCCGCGGUAAUACGAAGGGGGCUAGCGUUGUUCGGAAUUACUGGGCGUAAAGGGCGCGUAGGCGGCCUGUUUAGUCAGAAGUGAAAGCCCCGGGCUCAACCUGGGAAUAGCUUUUGAUACUGGCAGGCUUGAGUUCCGGAGAGGAUGGUGGAAUUCCCAGUGUAGAGGUGAAAUUCGUAGAUAUUGGGAAGAACACCGGUGGCGAAGGCGGCCAUCUGGACGGACACUGACGCUGAGGCGCGAAAGCGUGGGGAGCAACAGGAUUAGAUACCCUGGUAGUCCACGCCGUAAACGAUGAAUGCUAGACGUCGGGGUGCAUGCAGCUUCGGUGUCGCCGCUAACGCAUUAAGCAUUCCGCCUGGGGAGUACGGCCGCAAGGUUAAAACUCAAAUGAAUUGACGGGGUCAUAGCUGUUUCCU
rnacentral:rRNA from 1 species